rnacentral:lncRNA from 7 species
GAUAAAAUACGCUCCACGCGUUGUCCAUCCAGAAGGAUAAGGAAAACACCAAGGAACAAAGACAGAAGAAGUUGCUUGCAAUAUUGAAAAAUGAUGCUGCUACGAAGAGAACUGAAUGAAACACCCUUCUGUGGAAGAGCCAUCAGCAACACAGCUAAAGCAAAUGGAAAUGCAUCACUGCCAUCACAUCUGUACAGUUCUGCACCUUGUGCCAUCGCUGGCUGAAAGAAAUGACAGCGUGGUGGAAACUUUUUAAGGAAAAAAGUUGGACUGCAUAUUGCACUGUCAAACUCGUUGUCCCCAAACCAAGAGAAAAAGGCAAGCAAAUGCAAAUCAUAUUAAUGCACUGUGAAACAGAGAGAGGGAAGAGUUCAUUAACAAAUGAGGAAGAACUGCUCAGGCAAAAUGAAAUAGUUUGGUUAUUUCCUGGGAGAAUAAUAGCAAGCACUCUCUGAAUAUUAACUAGUAGAACUAAAGCACAAGUUUUACAGUCUAUGUGAAACAAGGGGAUGUUUGCCACUCGACUGCUGCUGGACCUGCUGAUGAGUACACUGACAGUGCUUUCUUAUUCUGAGCAGCAUGACUUUCUGCAGGUAAACAAAGUAUGCCAAGUUUCCAGGGAGUAUCCAAUGGACAUUGGGGAGCAUCCAAAAGGUUGUUAUGUUCCAUGCGUAUUCAUGCACCCUAGUCUGCAGAAUUAUGCUAUACCUGGUGAGGUUUGCUCUGAAAGAAAAUAACCUGUUGAAACUCAGUAAAUCCAUCUGUUGCCUUGAACUGCCCAGACACGUUUAAUAUGGGCAGAAUGUUCCAGUAGUGGGAAUCUCUGAUACCUUAACGUGCUCCCAAAGAAAUACCUUAAAAAACAAGCCUCCAAAUUACUUUUCUGGCUGUCCAAGUUGUUGGUGUCAGGGUGCACCGGACAAGGACAAGUGCUAUGUCCAGCUGCUGCAGGAGGACUCCUGGUCACCCUUUCUGCCCUAGCAGGCACAGCCGAGGUCAGCAAGACAGGGUAAGACUGUGCACUAUCUGUAAAUCAGCAAGAUACUGGACUGUGUUCUGGACAGAUUUCACAGCAAGCAGUUGAGACAGGUCAGUAUAAACACCUGCGCUGCAUGUGAGCUGCUGACUUCUGAGGAGGAAUUUCUCCUAAUUGGUCUGUGCAAAGAAAGCUAAUAUAAGAGGGGGAGGAGGGGGGAAAGCAUGCAUUGGUUGGAGAGUGGAUAAGAACCUCCAUCUGACCCAAAACGCGUCUUGGCUGUGACAAAGAAAAGUGAAAUAAAUUGCAAGGUCGCU